rfam:Aedes aegypti strain Liverpool supercont1.308 genomic scaffold, whole genome shotgun sequence.
GGCUCCGUAGCUUAGUCGGUAAAGCGCUCGUCUAGCAUACAAGAGUCCUAAGUUCGAAUCCCAGCCGAGCAC